rnacentral:rRNA from 1 species
UACGAAGGGGGCGAGCGUUGUUCGGAAUCACUGGGCGUAAAGGGCGCGUAGGCGGCCCUCUUAGUCGCGUGUGAAAGCCCCGGGCCUCAACCUGGGAACGGCGCGCGAAACGGGAGGGCUGGAGUUCGGGAGAGGAGAGUGGAAUUCCCAGUGUAGAGGUGAAAUUCGUAGAUAUUCGCAAGAACACCAGUGGCGAAGGCGGCUCACUGGCCCGGUACUGACGCUGAGGCACGAAAGCGUGGGGAGCAAACAGG